rnacentral:rRNA from 1 species
UACGGGGGGAGCAAGCGUUGUUCGGAUUUACUGGGCGUAAAGGGCGCGUAGGCGGUCAGCACAAGUCAGUUGUGAAAUCUCCGAGCUUAACUCGGAAAGGUCAACUGAAACUGUGCGACUAGAGUGCGGAAGGGGCAACUGGAAUUCUUGGUGUAGCGGUGAAAUGCGCAGAUAUCAGGAGGAACACCGAUGGCGAAGGCAGGUCUCUGGGCCACUACUGACGCUGAGAAGCGAAAGCAUGGGGAGCGAACAGG